UUACUUCUGUGGGUUUGUGUGUGCGGGGUCGGGGCUCAGCUGCUCCCGGGCGCCAAGCAGGCAACACACGGUUUGGGGUGCAUCUUUCUACAGUUGUGACUCCCGUUCUUCUGGAAUUUUAGGAUUGAAGUCUAGGCACCAGUCAACUGACUUCUUCCAACAGGUCUCACUGUUGUGUUUUCUAAAUUUAACUGCCUACCAGCUGUUGUGAAACCAGUCCCAGACCUCCAUGAGAUGGUGUUCAAGGGCGUCCUUCGAUCUGUUGCUCUUUGGAAGCCGAGAACCUACAACUGCAGCUUCAGAAGGAAAGGAAUUGUAUUAAACAAACAUACAAAGGGUGACCAGGGACAUAAAUCUUCAAUUAUCUCAAGUAAUAUGGAGUUUGUGAGAAGCAAAAUAUACUCUGAAUAGAAAAGCCAUUCCUGGAGAGUGGUGAAACCCAAGGAGAUACUGUAAUUGAAGAUACAGUGCUACUGUGCAUAGUAUGCUCAUACUUGUCUGCUAAUGUCAGCUGAGCUCUUUUUAGUAGGGGGUCCAAGCAUGCCCUUCAAUCAGCACUAUUAGGCAAGAGUCCGGGAAAAGUCAAUAAGGCAGUGCAAAUAUAGGCAAGUGUUCCUCAGCCUGCAGUCUUUAGUCGUCAGGAUACAAGUUGAAGAACUCACUGAAGAACAGCUGAAGGUUUGCAGGGAGUGCCAGGAGUUUUAGACCAACAACUGAAUGGUAAUGGAUAGCUAUACUUUAUUUAAAUAUUGAGUCUGUUUGCCCCAGACUGCAGCAUUAGAGACAGGCCAUCAACCUGGAAAGAAAUACUUAAAGUUAGUGAUGUCCAAACUGAAGCCAUUUGGUUGUCAGUAAUAUGUUUAGUUGGCAUUCUGGGUAGGCAGUUUUUAUGGCUUACUGCACAUGAGUCUGCAUACAGUUCAUGAACACAAAGGAUAAAUGGUUCUACUAAAUUAGCUCAACACUUGGGUUGAAUUCCUGGUGACAACUUAGUUAGCCCAUUGCAAGCUAGGGCAAUUGAAAGUGAAUAUCAAUGAUUUUAGGCACCAAAUAUGUAUUCACUGGGUUUCAUUUCAUGGGCCCAGGGCAAGGAAGAGCAGAAGGAUUAAAGAAAUCUCUUAGCAUUACGGAAAGUGAGCUGACAGGCCACAGGUCAAGAACCACAGAACGGUGAUCCUAUCACAGUCAGGUUAGGGCUAUCGGCAAGUUCAGAAACAAAGCACAGUCCAAGACAGGUGGCCACCAGGGAAGGUCAUAGUACAGGCACUCAGUCAGAACAGUUCAAUCAGCUAAAUUCAACAAGGGCAAAGACAGAGGCGGGAACUGUCACCACCUGCUUUGGCCCCUUGGAGCUGAAAAUCAAUUAGGAAUCCACUACGAGUUAAGACUAUGAUUAAGUGUCAUGUGGACACGAAAUACGGCGGGGUUUAUGAGAUGAAUGUAUAAUAAAGGUUUUUUCUUUUUAA